AGAGUUUGAUUAUGGCUCAGAGUGAACGCUGGCGGCGUGCUUAACACAUGCAAGUCGAACGAGAACGGAUUAUAGCUUGCUAUAUGUCAGCUAAGUGGCGCACGGGUGAGUAAUGUAUAGAAACCUGCCCUUAAGAAAGGAAUAACAGUUGGAAACGACUGCUAAUGCCCUAUAUGCCUUUAAUACAUAAGUAUGCAGGGAAACGCUUUAUGCUUAAGGAUGGGUCUGUAUGGUAUCAGCUUGUUGGUGAGGUAAUGGCUCACCAAGGCUAUGACGCCUAACUGGUUUGAGAGGAUGAUCAGUCACACUGGAACUGAGACACGGUCCAGACUCCUACGGGAGGCGGCAGUGGGGAAUAUUGGACGAUGGGGGCAACCCUGAUCCAGCCAUGCCGCGUGUGUGAAGAAGGCCUUCGGGUUGUAAAGCACUUUCAGCUGUGAGGAAAGGCAAGUGGUUAAUACCCGCUUGCUGUGACGUUAACAGCAGAAGAAGGACCGGCUAACUCCGUGCCAGCAGCCGCGGUAAUACGGAGGGUCCGAGCGUUAAUCGGAAUUACUGGGCGUAAAGCGCGCGUAGGUGGUUCAGUCAGUCAGAUGUGAAAGCCCCGGGCUCAACCUGGGAACUGCACCUGAUACUGCUGAGCUAGAGUACGGUAGAGGGUAGUGGAAUUUCCGGUGUAGCGGUGAAAUGCGUAGAGAUCGGAAGGAACACCAGUGGCGAAGGCGACUACCUGGACCGAUACUGACACUGAGGUGCGAAAGCGUGGGUAGCAAACAGGAUUAGAUACCCUGGUAGUCCACGCCGUAAACGAUGUCAACUAGCCGUUGGGGGACUUGAUCCUUUAGUGGGGAAGCUAACGCGAUAAGUUGACCGCCUGGGGAGUACGGCCGCAAGGUUAAAACUCAAAUGAAUUGACGGGGGCCCGCACAAGCGGUGGAGCAUGUGGUUUAAUUCGAAGCAACGCGAAGAACCUUACCUACUCUUGACAUCCAGAGAACUUUCCAGAGAUGGAUUGGUGCCUUCGGGAACUCUGAGACAGGUGCUGCAUGGCUGUCGUCAGCUCGUGUUGUGAAAUGUUGGGUUAAGUCCCGUAACGAGCGCAACCCUUAUCCUUAUUUGCCAGCGAGUAAUGUCGGGAACUCUAAGGAGACUGCCGGUGACAAACCGGAGGAAGGUGGGGAUGACGUCAAGUCAUCAUGGCCCUUACGAGUAGGGCUACACACGUGCUACAAUGGCCGGUACAGAGGGCUGCAAACUCGCGAGAGUAAGCUAAUCUCACAAAACCGGUCGUAGUCCGGAUCGCAGUCUGCAACUCGACUGCGUGAAGUCGGAAUCGCUAGUAAUCGUGAAUCAGAAUGUCACGGUGAAUACGUUCCCGGGCCUGCACACACCCCCGUC
rnacentral:rRNA from 1 species